rnacentral:rRNA from 1 species
AGCGAACGCUGGCGGCAGGCCUAACACAUGCAAGUCGAACGAACCUUUCGGGGUUAGUGGCGGACGGGUGAGUAACACGUGGGAACGUGCCUUUAGGUUCGGAAUAACUCAGGGAAACUUGUGCUAAUACCGAAUGUGCCCUUCGGGGGAAAGAUUUAUCGCCUUUAGAGCGGCCCGCGUCUGAUUAGCUAGUUGGUUGAGGUAAUGGCUCACCAAGGCGACGAUCAGUAGCUGGUCUGAGAGGAUGAUCAGCCACAUUAGGACUGAGACACGGCCCAAACUCCUACGGGAGGCAGCAGUGGGGAAUCUUGCGCAAUGGGCGAAAGCCUGACGCAGCCAUGCCGCGUGAAUGAUGAAGGUCUUAGGAUUGUAAAAUUCUUUCACCGGGGACGAUAAUGACGGUACCCGGAGAAGAAGCCCCGGCUAACUUCGU